rnacentral:rRNA from 1 species
GACGAACCGUGCGAACGUUAUUCGGAAUCACUGGGCUUAAAGGGCGCGUAGGCGGGUUUGCAAGUCUGCGGUGAAAGCCUCCAGCUUAACUGGAGAAGUGCCGUGGAUACUGCGAAUCUUGAGGAGGGUAGGGGCAUCUGGAACGUUGGGUGGAGCGGUGAAAUGCGUUGAUAUCCAACGGAACUCCGGUGGCGAAGGCGAGGUGCUGGACCCUUUCUGACGCUGAGGCGCGAAAGCCAGGGGAGCGAACGGG